CCGAAGAUGAUCAAAAGAAAACUGCUGUUCAGCAAGUGGAGACUGGCAUGCAGAUUCCCUGGCCUGCAAGCUUAGAGCAGGAAGAUACUAAAUGCUGCUGGAACAAUGAAAAGAAAGAACGGAUGUCACAAAAAGCAUUUUCAUUUGAUGAAUAGAACUAAAAGAGCAAAGCAAUUGAAAGCUCAACACAACACAGGAGGGAUCCAUGGC